GAUGAACGCUAGCUACAGGCUUAACACAUGCAAGUCGAGGGGCAGCGGGAUUGAAGCUUGCUUCAAUUGCCGGCGACCGGCGCACGGGUGAGUAACGCGUAUCCAACCUUCCGUACACUCGGGGAUAGCCUUUCGAAAGAAAGAUUAAUACCUGAUGGUAUGAUGAGAUUGCAUGAUAUCAUCAUUAAAGAUUUAUCGGUGUACGAUGGGGAUGCGUUCCAUUAGGUAGUAGGCGGGGUAACGGCCCACCUAGCCAACGAUGGAUAGGGGUUCUGAGAGGAAGGUCCCCCACAUUGGAACUGAGACACGGUCCAAACGCCUACGGGAGGCAGCAGUGAGGAAUAUUGGUCAAUGGACGAGAGUCUGAACCAGCCAAGUAGCGUGAAGGAUGAAGGUCCUACGGAUUGUAAACUUCUUUUAUAAGGGAAUAAACCCUCCCACGUGUGGGAGCUUGUAUGUACCUUAUGAAUAAGCAUCGGCUAACUCCGUG
rnacentral:rRNA from 1 species